UACGUAGGGUGCAAGCGUUGUCCGGAAUUAUUGGGCGUAAAGAGCUCGUAGGCGGCUUGUCGCGUCGGCUGUGAAAACUCGGGGCUCAACCCCGAGCCUGCAGUCGAUACGGGCAGGCUAGAGUUCGGUAGGGGAGACUGGAAUUCCUGGUGUAGCGGUGAAAUGCGCAGAUAUCAGGAGGAACACCGGUGGCGAAGGCGGCACUCUGGGCCGGUACUGACGCUGAGGAGCGAAAGCGUGGGGAGCGAACAGG
rnacentral:rRNA from 1 species